CGUAGGCGGCGCGGUAAGUCGGGUGUGAAAUCUCGGAGCUUAACUCCGAAACUGCAUUCGAUACUGCCGUGCUUGAGGACUGGAGAGGAGACUGGAAUUUACGGUGUAGCGGUGAAAUGCGUAGAUAUCGUAAGGAAGACCAGUGGCGAAGGCGGGUCUCUGGACAGUUCCUGACGCUGAGGCACGAAGGUCAGGGGAGCAAACG
rnacentral:rRNA from 1 species